rnacentral:lncRNA from 1 species
GUUAUUACCCUUUACCUAAGGGAGCGGCCUCCAAGAGAAACUUGUUUGCCCUCAACUCAGUCUGCAUCUGGGGUUUAGAUAGCUCAUGGUUCUGCUGGUUAGGAAGUUCAAGCGCAAGGCCCUGACUUCUGGACUCUGGGACCUAACAUGAAAAAGAGGCUGCUAUAUCAGAUAUUCGUUUCUAGUUGAAUAGGGAAAAGAGCAAGAGAGCAGGCAGAAAAUACACAAUGCUUCAACACUAUUAUGUACAGACAAGGUGUACAUAAUGUCCAUCCACACACCAUUGGCCAAAGCAAGUCUCUUGGAUAAACAAAAUGUCAAUGAGGCAACCGUGUAUGCUCACCCACAGGAGAAGCUGCAAAUGACAUGACAACUUGACUUACAUAGGAAUGAAGGGCAGAGUAAUACUUGGGAACAGUAUUUCAAUCUGUGGAUACAGAGAGAGAGAUCUGAACAUGUGACUACCAAAAAGGUACAGGGAUUAGUUCUGG